GCUAACUGUACCAAUAAACCAUGUUUAAAAGAUGGAAUAAGUUUACACAAUAUUCCAUACUUCAAUAACGAACGCGCGGAAGCUAAAAGACGAAGAAAAGUAUGGGUUGGUUUUGUAUCCGCAAAACGUUUGUUUGUGCCGUCAAAGCACAGGUCAAAGGCAGCUAGACUUCGACUAUAUGCUCGGAUCAUUUUUGACCAGAGGAUUACGAGAGGCGAUUCUUUUCGUGUCUUUCGUUGACGGGGCUCGGCAAGCCUAACUAUCCGAAGCUAUUAAAGACUGACGAUAAUUUGCUUUGUUUUGA